UUUGGUGUUGUGCUGUGCAACUUAUAUCAGGAACAUUAUUUAUAAAGUGAUUGUGAAAUACAGUAAUAAGAUUGUACAUUGUAUUAAUACCUUA
ensembl:miRNA cin-mir-4187 cin-mir-4187